UACAAUAUCAAAAUUAUUUACAGAUGACACAAUGCUUUGGCGAGGUACUGUUCGAUGCUCCAUCACCCCAAGUUAUCAAAAAUAAGAAAACAGAGAAAGUUCACAACAGUAAUUCAGUGUAUCAGCAGUGGCAAUUCAACGACCUAACACAGCGUUCACAACCUGAUGAUCAGAUCAAUUUAAAUUCGACAGCUAAGCCAAAACAAGUUAAAGUUGUCAGAAAGAAUAGUAAAAUCCAGGCAAGAGAUGUGUUUUGUCAAGAUGAACCCAAAAACAAUAGUAACACGUCAAUUGCAGCUCAGGAAGUCCAAAAAACCGAAUCUUUUAACAUCACUCCUACAAAUUGGAAACAAAAAGGAAAAAGAAAGACUGCAAAAGAAGAAUGUAUACAUCAAGAUAUUAAAGAAACUUCCAGUUCUCCCAAACUGAUUCGGCAGAAAAACUAUGGUAAAAUUAGAAUAGUGAUUAAAAGACCUAAGAAUUGCCAGAGAUUUGUCCCUCAGAUCAUGCAAACAAUGCCCUCUAAAAUUGGCACAUCUGAAAGGAGAAAAAGGAAAAAACUUUCUGUGGACAUUUUUGAAAAGUGUCUUGACCCUUUUGCAUUUGUAACUAUUUCUGAUCAAAUAAAGCAUUUAACGCCAAACGAGGCCUGCUUGAAAGUACCUCAUGAAUUUUCUGUGGCCAAGAAACAAAUUUCCGUAUUUGAAGCACUAUGGGCGCACAGAACAUCUGAAUUUUAGUAACUGUCCAACAAGGUUACCUGAAUUUUUAUUUUAAAAUAAUUGUUCUACUUGUAAAUGCUCAUGGCAGGUUUUGUGAUUAUAAGUAAGUCUAGCUACAUGUACAAGUGAAAGUUGAGAAUGAAGUUCAGGUAUUGUUCCAAAUAGUCUAUAAUGAAAACUUAGACUAAGACAAUAACUGCACAUUGUCUUAAUGAAUCUCGGCACUUUUCUUAGAUUAGGACAAUUUUAGUGUGUUUUGUUAUGAAAUCGUACAGUUUCACAAUGUAAUACUAGGUGCAAAAUAGUAUUUUUGUUUU